rnacentral:rRNA from 1 species
UACAGAGGUCCCAAGCGUUGUUCGGAUUCAUUGGGCGUAAAGGGUGCGUAGGUGGCGCCGUAAGUCGGGUGUGAAAUUUCGGAGCUUAACUCCGAAACUGCAUUCGAUACUGCGGUGCUUGAGGACUGGAGAGGAGACUGGAAUUCAUGGUGUAGCAGUGAAAUGCGUAGAGAUCAUGAGGAAGACCAGUGGCGAAGGCGGGUCUCUGGACAGUUCCUAACACUGAGGCACGAAGGCCAGGGGAGCAAACGGG